rnacentral:lncRNA from 1 species
CUACAUAAAGGAGGUACAGUAAUACAAAGAACCCUGGUAUAGUGUUAAAUUUUUACAAAAUGAAAUUCGAUAACUAGUCUUAUUGACUAAUACUUCUUUUUCAGCCAUUUACAGAGCAAUGUUGAGUAUUUUAAAUGAUUGUACAAAACAUAUAGUAGAUUGUACAGAACAUACAAGUAUGCACAUUUUCAUUGAUUGGCAUAUAGCAAACAAAUGGUAAAUUUAGCAACAGAUAUUAUUGGAUAAAACUCUGCCUGAUAUGAUUUCUGCACUUGGUUGUGAAAUUUUGACUAAAGAUUUUUAUUACAUGUAAGAUUGGCCCUUUUUUUCUUAACAAUGAUUUAAAUUAUUCUCAGAUACCAUAAAAUAUCAAAUAGCAUGCCUUCCUAGGGUUAAAUCUUGUAAGCCAAAAAUGGAGAAAUAUACUUUUCAUAAUAUUUUAUGAGAAUUACAAAUUAUGAAGUAAAGUUGGUAUUUCAAAGGUUUGUUUUCUCAAGAAAAAAUCUAUGGUAUUGUCCUUUUUAUAACACAAGACAAACAUGUAUGUAAUCAGACAUUAUAAUUAUCAUUUCCCUUUUUCUUUUACUAUAUCAUUACAAGAACAUAUAUCAUCUCUAAAAGGUUAAGUCACAAGGUCAAAUGUUUAAAUUACAAGGUGACAUUGUAUAUGAUACAACAUUUUAGGGCAAUUGAACAACAUAAAGGCUAAAUAGCUAAAUAUUUAUUUACAAAUUAGUUUCUAAGUAUUUUGUAUCAAGUUUCUAUGUUCUCCUUUUUCUCCAAGGUAAAAGGUUUUCUAAUAAGGAUCUUCAAGUUUUGAUAAUGAACACCAAAAAUAUCUUAAAAUAAAAUAGUCAGAAAACUUGUGCUCAGAUAAAUGCUGUUAUACAAAUUCUUGGUUGUCACAAUUCUGUACAUUUUUUUGCAGAAAUUGUAGAUAAAAAUAUAAAGCUUCUGGAUCUCAGAGAAAAAUUAUACACUAGUUUGUUCUUAUAGAUGAUAAGAAUAGAUAGAUAUUAGUAGUUUAAAAACACAGCAAAAAUCUUUCAUUUUUUCAUUUGAAUAAAAAAAAUUAAUAGUCAACAAUCAAGAUACUGAUGUAAUUUGUACCUUUCAAGCAUAUAUAAUAAAUCGAAAAAAGGGAAGAGGACAGACAAUAGAGGAGAAAAUAUUUUUUUUUUUACUUAAAACAACUGUUUAGACAAUAAGAUCCCCCUUAAAGUGAUAACUUGUACUCAUUAAGGGGAGACAAUGUGUUUCUGAAGCUACUACAUUGUCAUGAUUGUAGUCUAAUAACUACAUUGUCACGAUUGUAGUUUGUAACUACAUUGUUUUAAUUGUAGUUUGUAACAUCAUUGUCAACUUGUAGUCUUAUAACUUCUUUGUCAUAAUUGCAGUCUAAAGAUUCAGAUUUUUAUUUUUAUUUUUAAACAUCAGUACCUUUUUUCUAUUCAAUGGUGGUUUAAAAGGUUAUUUCAUUGAAUGAGUAUUGAUUAAAAUAAUUAUGUAAUCAAUUAAAUCAAAUAUGAAUUUACAGUUUCAACCUGAAAAUAUAGUGUUAAAAAGAAAUGUCAUAAAUGUAAAAAUUGCAAACAAAAAUGAAGUAAAUAUAUUUCUACAUAAAAUGAAUAAAU